rnacentral:rRNA from 1 species
ACUCCUACGGGAGGCAGCAGUAGGGAAUAUUGCACAAUGGAGGAAACUCUGAUGCAGCGACGCCGCGUGAGUGAUGAAGGCCUUCGGGUUGUAAAGCUCUGUUCUCAGGGAAAAAGAAAGUGAUUGUACCUGAGGAGAAAGGACCGGCUAAUUUCGUGCCAGCAGCCGCGGUAAU